rnacentral:rRNA from 2 species
CUUAGCAUGAAGUCAGACAAGA